UACGGAGGGGGCUAGCGUUGUUCGGAAUUACUGGGCGUAAAGCGUGCGCAGGCGGCUCCUUAAGUCAGAUGUGAAAGCCCCGGGCUUAACCUGGGAACUGCGUUUGAAACUGGGGAGCUGGAGUGUAGAAGAGGGGGGUGGAAUUCCCCAAGUAGAGGUGAAAUUCGUAGAUAUGGGGAGGAACACCGGUGGCGAAGGCGGCCACCUGGACGGUAACUGACGCUGAGACGCGAAAGCGUGGGGAGCAAACAGG
rnacentral:rRNA from 1 species